UUUGAUUUUCCAUUUCUACCAAAUACAACAUGAAGCAUUAUCCAAGAUGGUGAAUUAGAGGCUUUUAGCAUGUCUUAGCCACUUGGAAAUUCAUAAAGAUAAACUCUGUGAGCUUUAAUUUAAGAAGAAAAAUGGGAAAUCCACAAGAAUUGUGAAGGACACCUCAGAUCCCAGGAAGGAGAAUUCAGGCAAAAAGCCCCCAUGCUGGCAUCAGGCGGAUAAGGGAUUUCAGUCAAGGAGAUGCCUACCUGGGGACAGAAUCUGGAAAAGACCUCAAAAUAGAUCUUCUCAAGGCACCCGGAGGCAAACGAGGCAUAGACACACUAGGAUAAAAGCUGUCUUCAAGUCAGAGCCCUCCCUAGGGCUCCAGGCAGAGCAAAGGACCAGAUCUCCCCCUCUGCACUCCCCACCUACAGAUGAGCACCCAGGCAGGGGACACUCAAAGCAGGUGAAUGAGGCAGGGGGGGCAUGCAGAAGCCUUGAUCUCCGAGUGGUCUGUGGCCGUGAGGUGGAGAGAUACAACUGCUUUGUCGAGGACCCAAGGGAAAACCGAGCCGUGGCUGUCUGAGUCUUAUCAAAGGAAAAACGG
rnacentral:lncRNA from 1 species